UACGUAGGGUGCAAGCGUUGUCCGGAAUUAUUGGGCGUAAAGCGUGCGCAGGCGGUUUUGUAAGCCAGGUGUGAAAUCCCCGGGCUCAACCUGGGAAUGGCAUUUGGGACUGCAAGGCUGGAGUGCGGCAGAGGAGACUGGAAUUCCUGGUGUAGCAGUGAAAUGCGUAGAUAUCAGGAGGAAUACCGAUGGCGAAGGCAGGUCUCUGGGCUGACACUGACGCUCAUGCACGAAAGCGUGGGGAGCAAACAGG
rnacentral:rRNA from 1 species